rnacentral:rRNA from 1 species
CAAUAGCGUAUAUUAAAGUUGUUGCAGUUAAAAAGCUCGUAGUUGGAUUUGUGGCGUACGGUGUGUUCCGGGCACUUGUUGUCUGAGUAACCUGCUGUUGCCAUCCUUGGGUGGAACCUGUGUGGCAUUAGGUUGUCGUGCAGGGGAUGCCCAUCAUUUACUGUGAAAAAAUUAGAGUGUUCAAAGCAGGCUUAUGCCGUUGAAUAUAUUAGCAUGGAAUAAUGAGAUAGGACUUUUUUGCUAUUUUGUUGGUUUGCGCAAAGAGGUAAUGAUUAAUAGGGACAGUUGGGGGUAUUCGUAUACCAUUGUCAGAGGUGAAAUUCUUGGAUUUUUGGAAGACGAACUACUGCGAAAGCAUUUACCAAGGAUGUUUUCAUUAA